UACGAAGGGGGCUAGCGUUGCUCGGAAUUACUGGGCGUAAAGGGCGCGUAGGCGGACAGUUUAGUCAGAGGUGAAAGCCCAGGGCUCAACCUUGGAAUUGCCUUUGAUACUGGCUGUCUUGAGUUCGGGAGAGGUGAGUGGAAUGCCGAGUGUAGAGGUGAAAUUCGUAGAUAUCGGGAAGAACACCCGUGGCGAAGGCGGUUCUCUGGGACGGUACUGACGCUGAGACGCGAAAGCGUGGGGAGCGAACAGG
rnacentral:rRNA from 1 species